rnacentral:misc_RNA from 1 species
UGCCGCUUUGGUCGGCUGCCCAUUCGUCGGGCCGCUGUGCACCGUAAUGAUGCAUCUGGAGAAGGGCCGAAAGCACCCGCUCCCGCUGGCGCACACACCCAAACGCACGGAAACGCACUGAAGCACCGAAAGUGAGCUGAAGAGUUGGAAAGUAGUACUCACAGACACACAGGCGCACCACAUACUCGCGCGUAGUGACCGCCUAUCAUGGAGUUCUCGUCCUCUUCCUCUUCGGAUGCGGGGCUGGAAGAAGAACUGCAUCGGAACUUCCACCGUGAGCGAAGAGAACAACGUGGUAUUGUCCGAGCAUCUUCGGCGGCCACCCGCUGCGAAACCAUGCGCUUCACGAUGCCUGAUGGUCGAUCGAUCGAGGUUCGCAAAGGCUCCAUCUAUAUUCCCUUGCGUGACAUGUAUGUUCAUGUGCUGCAGGCGCGCUGCUGCCCGGAGAAGUGGUUUGGUGACGGUCGUGUGCCCCUUCGGCGACGCCGUCCACUACCGGCAGAUGUGGUGGUCUUACAACGGGUAACAGAGGCAGCAGCAGCAGCUGGCAGUGGUGCCACUGCCGCUCUUCCGCCCGUCAGCGUGAGGCUGUCGGAGGCGACCGAUAACGACUUUUUCGUCUUCAAGGAAGUGCUGCCUCAGAAAGCUGAAGAAAAUGCUGGCGAAGUCGCCGCCCCUCUGGUGAAGACCACCUCCUUUACGGCACAGGAACGCCCGAGCAGCUGGAAUGAUCCUCUGAUUGACACGCGCUUUCAGCGCAUGGCGUUCCUGCCUCGCUGGCGCUUCUCUAUGGCCCACCCGCGAUUGCUGAGAGAGGCUCGGUACGACACAUGGGACGCGGUCGAGCUUGCUCCUCCACUUCACGUGGACGACGCGUGCUGCUACGAUGAUUCGCUGGGUAUCUUGUGGAGCCUAAAUAGGCGGGAUGGGCACUUGUGGUACUUGCGAUACGACAACAGUGCUACCACCACGACUCGAGGUGCCGCUCUCAUGUCGGUAUGUGUUACCACAGUCGAUGUGGCCACUGCGCAGCGGUGUGUCGGGAUGUACUGUCAGCAUGAAGGGUCUUCGUCGCACGACGCAGCUGUCGGCGAUGACGAGGAAACAAGCAGAUGCGUGUGCUGUCUGCUCGUGAUCACCACCUCCCACGCUCUUUACAUACGCCUCGUGUACACCUGGUGCAACAAGUUCACAGUAGAACACGCGUUGUCGACACUGAAGCUGGAAUCGGUGCUCCCCAAGCCCCUGCAACUGUCGAGUGUAACGUGCUGCUGCCCCGGGAAUGCGGAAAAGCCGCCUGAUGUACCGCCAUCCUCCGCCAACGACACGUCCUUUUGUGUCGGCGCCGGCCGAAGUGUGUUUGCGUUCAUCUGGCGUAAUGGACAGUGGCACAGAGUGCGCCUCGCCUCGUUUACGGCGACCGAUGUAACGGCUUUGGCUCUCCACGGAGCGCUUGGGCAUCCCUCGUUGCCUGUCGCCGUCGUUGCUGGCAUGCGCAACGGAACGAUUCAAGUCGUUACCACAGAGGGGCGGAUGCGAAACAAGGCCAUCUUCAACACCACACCUCGACACUAUGGGUCUGAUAUUACCUCCAUGUACGCGGUACAAGGUCUUCCCUACGGGAUCGUCUCUGUAGCUCGCGAUGGCGGGGCGAAGCUCUGGGAUCUGCGUCGCCUCGGGUCUGACAAAGACCCGGUGUGCACCUUGCUCACCUCGCGCCUCGGUGGUGGUCAGUCAGGGGUGUGUAGUACGGCCAUGGCCGGCCACCUGCUGGCUGUCUCCUCCGUCUCCACGGGGCUUGUAUGCGUGGACGCUCAAACGGGCGCCCGGUUGUUUCACACGACACAAAAGCUGUCCCCAGCAACCCGCGUCGCAUUGGGGUCUCUCAGCAACGUCGACGGCAACGAUGGCUUUGAGCUCUACACCUUCAGCCCGUACUACGCACAGCGCUUCCACCUUCACCUGUGAGAGAGAGUGUAUGUGUGUGUAUGUGUGUGAGAGGAAAAGUAAGGCGGCGGCAACGGCGCAGACACGGCUCAUGAUGACUCGCGCCGUUCUCUUUUUCAUUUCCGCUGCUACAGCCUACGACAAGGGGGCUACGCGUACCUAAAGGUCCUGCCCCGAUACGAACACACUCACGCACAGACACCAGAGACAAGGAAACGUUCACUUACAGAGAGGGAUAGUAAAGCGGACAAACUGCUCCACUGCAGAGGAGGAACCCACGCUUACAUCAACGCAACGGCUGGCGUGACGAAGAUGGUGAUCACGCUGCUAAUCUUGCCUGCUGCCGUUGAUGUAGAGCUGAUAGUCUCUUUUCCCUCCACCUCCGGCCUUUGAAGAUGUGCUUCGAGGUGCAGCCCUCUUCGUCUCCCCUCCUCGCACACGCACAAACCCAAGCGCGCACGGCCUGUGCGCUCUUACAGUUUCUACUGCUUUCUGACAUGUGCACUCCUCUUCCUUCCAUCUUCCCUACUCCUCUUUUCCUUCUCUCCGUUCCGCUAUCUAUCUUCGCUGCUCUUUUCAUUGACGUGUGUGCGUGUCCCUCCACCGGUGAUGUGACACACACACACACACACACGCAUACAUAUAUAUAUAUAUAUUCGCGCCCCUCCCCCUUUUCGUGUGUGUGUGGGGGGGGGGGGGAGGGGGGCUUGUUUGUAUGAGCAUAUCGCAG